rnacentral:rRNA from 1 species
CCUACGUGGGGCAGCAGUGGGGAAUAUUGGACAAUGGGGGGAACCCUGAUCCAGCCAUGCCGCGUGUGUGAAGAAGGCCCUCGGGUUGUAAAGCACUUUCAGUGAGGAAGAACGCCUGGUGGUUAAUACCCAUCAGGAAAGACAUCACUCACAGAAGAAGCACCGGCUAACUCCGUGCCAGCAGCCGCGGUAAUACGGAGGGUGCGAGCGUUAAUCGGAAUUACUGGGCGUAAAGCGCGCGUAGGUGGCUUGAUAAGCCGGUUGUGAAAGCCCCGGGCUCAACCUGGGAACGGCAUCCGGAACUGCCAAGCUAGAGUGCAGGAGAGGAAGGUAGAAUUCCCGGUGUAGCGGUGAAAUGCGUAGAGAUCGGGAGGAAUACCAGUGGCGAAGGCGGCCUUCUGGACUGACACUGACACUGAGGUGCGAAAGCGUGGGUAGCAAACAGGAUUAGAUACCCGAGUAGUC